rnacentral:rRNA from 1 species
AGCAGCCGCGGUAAUUCCAGCUCCAAUAGCGUAUAUUAAAGUUGUUGCAGUUAAAAAGCUCGUAGUUGAAUUUCGGGAUCAAUAUUUCGGUCAUGCCGUUGGUAUGCACUGUUAUCAUUGAUUUCUCACCUUCUAAAGAACCGUGUUGCCAUUAAUUUGGUGUUACGGGGAAUUAGGACUGUUACCUUGAAAAAAUUAGAGUGUUUAAAGCAGGCUCACGCUUGAAUACAUUAGCAUGGAAUAAUGAAAUAGGACAUCCGAUUCUAUUUUGUUGGUUUCUAGGAUCGAUGUAAUGAUUAAUAGGGAUAGUUGGGGGCAUUAGUAUUCAAUUGUCAGAGGUGAAAUUCUUGGAUUUAUUGAAGACUAACUACUGCGAAAGCAUUUGCCAAGGAUGUUUUCAUUAAUCAAGAACGAAAGUUAGGGGAUCGAAGACGAUCAGAUACCGUCGUAGUCUUAACCAUAAACUAUGCCGACUAGGGAUCGGAUGAUGUUAAUUUUUUAAUGACUCAUUCGGCGUACC